ACAACAAAUAUUUUUUGCGCCCCGGCCAAUAUCACGCCCUUUGUAUUUAGCAUGUCUCUAUCGAAAUCAAGUGGUAGUAAAAAUAAACGAAAAAUUGUUGACGAACAUCGAAAUUUCCAAGAAAAGUAGGAAUUGGAGUAUUUUUGCUGUGAAGUAAGAAAUAAAAUAAUCUGCUUGAUAUGUAA